UCCCAGGAGGUAGCAACCUAGGCUUUGGUUC
rnacentral:piRNA from 1 species